AGUGAACGCUGGCGGUAGGCCUAACACAUGCAAGUCGAACGGCAGCACAGUAAGAGCUUGCUCUUACGGGUGGCGAGUGGCGGACGGGUGAGGAAUACAUCGGAAUCUACUUUUUCGGGGGGGAUAACGUAGGGAAACUUACGCUAAUACCGCAUACGACCUACGGGUGAAAGCAGGGGAUCUUCGGACCUUGCGCGAUUGAAUGAGCCGAUGUCGGAUUAGCUAGUUGGCGGGGUAAAGGCCCACCAAGGCGACGAUCCGUAGCUGGUCUGAGAGGAUGAUCCGCCACACUGGAACUGAGACACGGUCCAGACUCCUACGGGAGGCAGCCGUGGGGAAUAUUGGACCAUGGGCGCAAGCCUGAUCCAGCCAUACCGCGUGGGUGAAGAAGGCCUUCGGGUUGUAAAGCCCUUUUGUUGGGAAAGAAAAGCAGCAGGUUAAUACCCCGCUGUUCUGACGGUACCCAAAGAAUAAGCACCGGCUAACUUCGUG
rnacentral:rRNA from 1 species